rnacentral:rRNA from 1 species
AAUGGCUCAUUAAAUCAGUUAUCGUUUAUUUGAUAGUACCUUACUACAUGGAUAACCCGUGGUAAUUCUAGAGCUAAUACAUGCUAAAAACCCCGACUUCGGAAGGGGUGUAUUUAUUAGAUAAAAAACCAACGCCCUUCGGGGCUCCUUGGUGAUUCAUAAUAACUUAACGAAUCGCAUGGCCUUGAGCCGGCGAUGGUUCAUUCAAAUUUCUGCCCUAUCAACUUUCGAUGGUAGGAUAGUGGCCUACCAUGGUAUCAACGGGUAACGGGGAAUUAGGGUUCGAUUCCGGAGAGGGAGCCUGAGAAACGGCUACCACAUCCAAGGAAGGCAGCAGGCGCGCAAAUUACCCAAUCCCGACACGGGGAGGUAGUGACAAUAAAUACUGAUACAGGGCUCUUUUGGGUCUUGUAAUUGGAAUGAGUACAAUUUAAAUCCCUUAACGAGGAACAAUUGGAGGGCAAGUCUGGUGCCAGCAGCCGCGGUAAUUCCAGCUCCAAUAGCGUAUAUUAAAGUUGUUGCAGUUAAAAAGCUCGUAGUUGAACCUUGGGCCUGGCUGGCCGGUCCGCCUCACCGCGUGUACUGGUCCGGCCGGGCCUUUCCUUCUGGGGAUCCGCAUGCCCUUCACUGGGUGUGCCGGGGAACCAGGACUUUUACUUUGAAAAAAUUAGAGUGUUCAAAGCAGGCCUUUGCUCGAAUACAUUAGCAUGGAAUAAUAGAAUAGGACGUGCGGUUCUAUUUUGUUGGUUUCUAGGACCGCCGUAAUGAUUAAUAGGGAUAGUCGGGGGUGUCAGUAUUCAAUUGUCAGAGGUGAAAUUCUUGGAUUUAUUGAAGACUAACUACUGCGAAAGCAUUCACCAAGGAUGUUUUCAUUAAUCAGUGAACGAAAGUUAGGGGAUCGAAGACGAUCAGAUACCGUCGUAGUCUUAACCGUAAACUAUGCCGACUAGGGAUCGGGCGAUGUUAUCAUUUUGACUCGCUCGGCACCUUACGAGAAAUCAAAGUC